UACAGAGGGGGCAAGCGUUGUUCGGAAUUACUGGGCGUAAAGGGCGCGUAGGCGGCCUGCUAAGUCGAACGUGAAAUCCCCGGGCUCAACCCGGGAACUGCGUCCGAUACUGGCAGGCUUGAAUCCGGGAGAGGGAUGUGGAAUUCCAGGUGUAGCGGUGAAAUGCGUAGAGAUCGGGAGGAACACCGGUGGCGAAGGCGGGUCUCUGGGCAAUUCCUGACGCUGAGGCGCGAAAGCGUGGGGAGCAAACGGG
rnacentral:rRNA from 1 species